AAGUGUUUCACACACGUUGGCAGGUUUGGCUUUCCAUCAACACUAUGCUUGAAAUCAUAAUUUAAAGAUGUGUAUGUGUGUAUGUGUGGGUGUCUCUGUAUCCACACACCAACAUGCGUAUCAAUAUAUUUAUGGCAGGGUAGGUAGAUAAAUCUCAGUAUUCGUAAAACAUUUAAUUCAGCUUGAUCUCUAUCAUCACUAGUUUGGAUAUUAUUGAUGGUUGUGGGAUAAAGAUUUCUUGUGUCAUAAUCUGUUAUACUUCUUAAUGGCUUUAGUGAAUCAGUCAUUUGUUGUAUCAUUUUGUUAGAAAGUCAACCUGUGCCACUCCCAUAUAUAAGCAAAUGGACUUGGCUCUGAAAUUUAUUUUACUGUGCUAUAUUGCCUUUUAUUUUCUCUUUCUUUACAGCAGGGAUCAGAAUAAUGUGUCAG
rnacentral:misc_RNA from 1 species